UUAAGUAGCAACAGUACAUAUUGUAACGGCACCCCCAUACAUAAAAGGGGUUAAACCACCGUUUAGAAGAUCUUCCUCUUCCAGAGACACAGGCACAGCUACCGCAGAACCCCAAACUCCCGAACUGGAACCUCACGUAUAGCUGCUAGCAGCUGAACAGCAAAAGCACCCAAGCGGCUUACACUCCUGGCAAUCAGUCUCUAACAGCAUACAAUAAAUCCCUCCAAGAACGAGACGAGGCUCUGUUUUGAGGGUCAAACAGGAAAAGACAGAGCUGUGGGUUUAUUGUCCUUAUA